UAAAUUGUCCCGCGGUGUACCG
rnacentral:siRNA from 1 species